ensembl:lncRNA
CAGAUCAGGAUGUUGGUCGUUACACCUGCAGACAGUUCAAAACAGCAACAGGAUCACAAGAAGGUCCAGACUGUUUUAUUGAUCUGUCUGUUAUUAACAAGCCGGCAACAACACAACCAACAACAGUGGAGUUUACCACAAAAACAUCAUUAACUAGAAAAUCCACAACAUCAACACCGUUAGAAGAGACAUCAAAUAAUCCAGCAGGAGAUUGUCUGUAUUUGCUGAGAUGCAUCUUUGUGUCUGUGGGUUUAGCAGCACUCUUAAUAUCUGCUGUUACAGUCAACAUGUGGACAAAAACUAAAGGAAACAAAACACAGACUGAAGAAAACACUGUGCAUAAUGAUGAGGAUGAAGGUACAGUGAACUAUGAAAACACUGGAGACUCUUCUGCUUCUGUCAGACUCCACUGACCAACAACUUCAACAUCAACUGAUCACAGAAAUGAAUCCACUGAUGUUUAAAACAUUUACAUUUUGCUUUUAUCACAUAUUAAGAAUCAAAAUCUUUUUCAUGUGCAGUUGGUUAGCUAGUUAAAAAUAACUUAAACUCUGUGUGUCUGAAACAGUUUGUCCAGUUACAUAAAGAAAAGACUCUCAGACUGAGGAUGUUGCAUUCAGGAGGUUGACUGAGAAGUCAGGUUAUGACAAAGUAAACUGCUUCAGACAUGAAGGGGGAGGCCAGCUUUGUUGCUCUUUAAAUUUAUUUUGAUGUAUUUGAUUGUUUUACUCUUUAUGUUUAUUUGUGACACAAUAACUAAUGUUGUUUUCAAUUUCAUAACUUUUAUGUUAUCUUUACCUAUUUGUCUUUGUUUUGGCUGUAAAAGACUUAAAUGACUUGAAUUUUUUUAAAAAGUUUUUUUUUUGUUUGUUUUCUUGGUCUGUUUCUCUCUG